CGGGCUUGAACUGCGCAGGAGGGAACCAGAGAUGGUUCUGUUCUUCGGACCUGCGUGGAGGUGCUGCAUGGUUGUCGUCAGCUCGUGCCGUGAGGUGUCGGCUCAAGUGCCAUAACGAGCGCAACCCCUGUCGCCAGUUGCCAUCAGGUCAUGCUGGGCACUCCGGCGAUACUGCCAUCGCAAGAUGUGAGGAAGGUGGGGAUGACGUCAAAUCAGCACGGCCCUUACGUCCGGGGCUACACACGUGUUACAAUGGGGGGCACAGAAGGCCGCGACCCGGCGACGGGCAGCCAAUCCCGAAAUCCCCUCUCAGUUCGGAUAGGAGUCUGCAACCCGACUCCUUGAAGCUGGAUUCGCUAGUAAUCGCGCAUCAGCCAUGGCGCGGUGAAUACGUUCCCGGGCC
rnacentral:rRNA from 1 species